CACGUAGGGUGCGAGCGUUGUCCGGAAUUAUUGGGCGUAAAGAGCUCGUAGGCGGUGUGUCGCGUCGGCCGUGAAAACCUGCAGCUUAACUGUGGGCUUGCGGUCGAUACGGGCAUCACUGGAGUUCGGCAGGGGAGACUGGAAUUCCUGGUGUAGCGGUGAAAUGCGCAGAUAUCAGGAGGAACACCGAUAGCGAAGGCAGCUCGCUGGGACGGUACUGACGCUGAGGUGCGAAAGCGUGGGGAGCGAACAGG
rnacentral:rRNA from 1 species